ensembl:lncRNA
CUGCAAUCAGGAGAGAGAGAACGUUCUCCUCUCCUGUUCUCUCAGAACAGGACCGUUCUCCAGAAGAACGUUUUAAUCAUCCACCUCAAAGCAAGGUUGGGCUUUUUGUUUCAUGUGGAGCGUUUGUUUUGGUUUUGGUUUCUUUCGCGUGCGCAGCUCCUCUCUGUGUCCGCGCGGGACACGCGGUACCCCGCUGUGAGGCUCGAGUUGUGAGGCUCUUCGCGCUGUGAGGCUCGCGCUCAAAGAAGCGGGCUCCUGGACACAAGGGUCACGACCUCAACACGGCAGGAAAAGGUUGCCGGUUCGAUCCCUGGCUCCGCCGAGUUGGGAGUAGUCCCUGAGCGAGACGUCUUACCCUGACGGGCUGCUGUCGCCCUGGGGGGUCGACUCCGCCAUGGGGGGGUAGUGUGAACCGCUGUGAUGACCCCGGAGAAAAGCAUCUGCUCCGCCGAACAACGGAGAAAACUAAAGACUGAAGCAGCAGAGAGAGACUCCCCUCUCAGGAGUCAGAGAGAGGACUCAUGUUCUCCUCUCUCAGGAGUCAGAGACAGGCCUCAUGUUCUCCUCUCUCAGGAGUCAGAGAGAGGACUCUUGUUCUCCUCUCAGGAGUCAGAGACAGACCUCCUGUUCUCCUCUCUCAGGAGUCAGAGAGGACACCUCAUCUCCUCUCUCUGACUCCAGAGAGAGGACUCUUGUUCUCCUCUACAGGAGUCAGAGAGAGGAGUCAUGUUCUCCUCUCAGGAGUCGGAGAGAGGACUCAUGUUCUCCUCUCUCAGGAGUCAGAGAGAGGACUCUUGUUCUUCUCUCAGGAGUCAGAGAGAGGACUCAUGUUCUCCUCUACAGGAGUCAGAGACAGGACUCAUGUUCUCCUCUACAGGAUUCAGAGAGAGGACUCAUGUUCUCCUCUCUCAGGGGUCAGAGAGAGGACUCAUGUUUUCCUCUCUCAGGAGUCAGAGAGAGGACUCAUGUUCUCCUCUCUCAGGAGUCAGAGAGAGGACUCUUGUUCUCCUCUACAGAAGUCAGAGACAGGACUCAUGUUCUCCUCUCUCAGGAGUCAGAGAGAGGACUCAUGUUCUCCUCUCAGGAGUCAGAGACAGGCCUCAUGUUCUCCUCUCCCAGGAGUCAGAGACAGGCCUCAUGUUCUCCUCUCUCAGGAGUCUCUCUGCUGAGGUUCUCCAGGGCAUGGCGUACAGCGACACUACGUGCUGAGAUGGAAGACUUUGCCACACCUGUUCCACCACAGGUGUAACAGACAGAUGUAUUAACACCUGCUCAGAGUGAUUGAUGCCACUUGUUCUGCUGGUUUUCGGCAGUAAAGCCGACGCGUUGGGGUUGUCAGUCUCCUGAGUGUCUGUGAGUGAUGUCCCAGCCUGUGUGACACCUCAGUUACCCCCAGAACCUCCUCCAUCACCUCCAGCUCCACCUUAUUCAAUCAGUCGUUGGAUAUUACACUUUAAAUGCUCCUCAUUCAUCUGUUUUCUUUGUGACUUCAAGAAUAAUA